UACGGAGGGUGCAAGCGUUAUCCGGAUUCACUGGGUUUAAAGGGUGCGUAGGUGGGUUGGUAAGUCAGUGGUGAAAUCCCCGGGCUCAACCUGGGAACUGCAUUUGUGACUGCAAGGCUAGAGUACGGUAGAGGGGGAUGGAAUUCCGCGUGUAGCAGUGAAAUGCGUAGAUAUGCGGAGGAACACCGAUGGCGAAGGCAAUCCCCUGGACCUGUACUGACGCUCAUGCACGAAAGCGUGGGGAGCAAACAGG
rnacentral:rRNA from 1 species